GCUUACGGCCACACCGGCCUGAGUAUUCCUGAUCUCGUCCGAUCUCGGAAGCUAAGCAGGGUCGGGCCUGGUUAGUACUUGGAUGGAAGACCGCCUGGGAAUACCAGGUGCUGUAAGCU
ensembl:rRNA 5S_rRNA 5S ribosomal RNA